rnacentral:rRNA from 1 species
UACGGAGGGUGCGAGCGUUGUCCGGAAUCAUUGGGCGUAAAGCGCGGGCAGGCGGCCCGCUCAGUCGGCCGUGAAAGCGCCGGGCUCAACUCGGCGCGGUCGGGCGAUACUGGCGGGCUCGAGGCUGGUAGAGGGCGGUGGAAUUCCGGGUGUAGUGGUGGAAUGCGUAGAGCUCCGGAGGAACACCAGUGGCGAAGGCGGCCGCCUGGGCCAGUCCUGACGCUGAGCCGCGAAAGCUAGGGGAGCGAACGGG